rnacentral:rRNA from 1 species
UACGUAGGGGGCAAGCGUUGUCCGGAUUUAUUGGGCGUAAAGAGCGUGUAGGCGGCUAGAUAGGUCCGUUGUGAAAACUCGAGGCUCAACCUCGAGACGUCGAUGGAAACCAUCUGGCUAGAGUCCGGAAGAGGAGAGUGGAAUUCCUGGUGUAGCGGUGAAAUGCGCAGAUAUCAGGAAGAACACCGGUGGCGAAGGCGGGUCUCUAGUACGGUACUGACGCUGAGACGCGAAAGCGUGGGAGCGAACAGG